AUUGAACGCUGGCGGAAUGCUUUACACAUGCAAGUCGAACGGCAGCACGGACUUCGGUCUGGUGGCGAGUGGCGAACGGGUGAGUAAUGCAUCGGAACGUGCCCAAUCGUGGGGGAUAACGUAGCGAAAGUUACGCUAAUACCGCAUACGAUCUAAGGAUGAAAGCGGGGGAUCGCAAGACCUCGCGCGAAUGGAGCGGCCGAUGUUAGAUUAGGUAGUUGGGGGGGUAAAGGCUCACCAAGCCGACGAUCUAUAGCUGGUCUGAGAGGAUGAUCAGCCACACGGGGACUGAGACACGGCCCGGACUCCUACGGGAGGCAGCAGUGGGGAAUUUUGGACAAUGGGCGCAGGCCUGAUCCAGCCAUUCCGCGUGCAGGAUGAAGGCCCUCGGGUUGUAAACUGCUUUUGUACAGAACGAAAAGCUCUGGGUUAAUACCCUGGGGUCAUGACGGUACUGUAAGAAUAAGCACCGGCUAACUACGUGCCAGCAGCCGCCGUAACAC
rnacentral:rRNA from 1 species